rnacentral:rRNA from 1 species
UACAGAGGUCUCAAGCGUUGUUCGGAUUCAUUGGGCGUAAAGGGUGCGUAGGCGGCGCGGUAAGUCGGGUGUGAAAGUCUCGGAGCUAACUCCGAAACUGCAUUCGAUACUGCCGUGCUUGAGGACUGGAGAGGAGACUGGAAUUUACGGUGUAGCGGUGAAAAUGCGUAGAUAUCGUAAGGAAGACCAGUGGCGAAAGGGCGGGGUCUCCUGGGAC